rnacentral:ncRNA from 2 species
UAUACGGAACAUGCUUCAGGUCUUGUCAGCUGCAACGGCGCAGCUGAUGAGUGAAAAGGGAAACCGGUGAGAACCCGGUACGGUCCCGCCACUGUAAAAGGCAUUGCUCCUCAAUUGGCCACUGUCAGCUGCUGAUGGGAAGGCGAGGAGUGGAAAAGCCUAAAGUCAGGAGACCUGCCUGAAGAUGGACGAAAUG